UACGGGGGGGGAAAGCGUUGUUCGGAAUUACUGGGCGUAAAGGGCUCGUAGGCGGCCAACUAAGUCAGACGUGAAAUCCCUCGGCUUAACCGGGGAACUGCGUCUGAUACUGGAUGGCUUGAGUUUGGGAGAGGGAUGCGGAAUUCCAGGUGUAGCGGUGAAAUGCGUAGAUAUCUGGAGGAACACCGGUGGCGAAGGCGGCAUCCUGGACCAACACUGACGCUGAGGAGCGAAAGCCAGGGGAGCAAACGGG
rnacentral:rRNA from 1 species